rnacentral:rRNA from 1 species
UACGUAGGGGGCAAGCGUUGUCCGGAAUCAUUGGGCGUAAAGCGCGUGUAGGCGGCUGAGUAAGUCUGCUCUGAAAGCCCGGGGCUCAACCCCGGGAGGCGGGUGGAUACUGCUCAGCUCGAGUCCGGAAGAGGAGUGUGGAAUUCCCGGUGUAGCAGUGAAAUGCGUAGAGAUCGGGAGGAACACCAGUGGCGAAGGCGGCUACCUGGACCAGCAUUGACACUCAAGCACGAAAGCGUGGGGAGCAAACAGG